UGCCAGUGAUAAACUGGAGGAAGGUGGGGAUGACGUCAAGUCAUCAUGGCCCUUACGACCAGGGCUACACACGUGCUACAAUGGCAUAUACAAAGAGAAGCGACCUCGCGAGAGCAAGCGGACCUCAUAAAGUAUGUCGUAGUCCGGAUUGGAGUCUGCAACUCGACUCCAUGAAGUCGGAAUCGCUAGUAAUCGUAGAUCAGAAUGCUACGGUGAAUACGUUCCCGGGCCUUGUAC
rnacentral:rRNA from 1 species